rnacentral:tRNA from 1 species
GGGGUUUUAAUAUAACUGGUAAAACACUCGUCUCCAAAACGAGAAGAUAAAGGUUCGAAUCCUUUAGGCCCUGCCA